rnacentral:lncRNA from 1 species
GGACUAAGGGGCUGACUGGUUCCCCUCCAAGGGAUGUGGAAGUUGAGGCUCAGAACACCCAGAAGCAGGAAAGCUCCGAAGAUGGAGAGGAGCAGAAUCUUGGCUUCCCAAAGAUCCUGACUUCCUGCAGGGAACCCAGGAGGCAGUGAAUGAUUCUGGGACCCACACGCACCGACUUGGGAGCCCAAGGGCUCAGGGAUCUGGGCAAGGUGGGGCGGGGCCAAGAUGGGCGUGAGGACCUGGGAAGCAGCGCUUUCGGGGCCAGCAGGACACCUCCGUCCCCUUGCAGGUGGAGCAGUUGUACAGCGUGGUGCUGCCCCCUGCAGGAGACAGCAGAGGCAACGCUGGGGAGGGGAGGCCGGGCCUCCACCCUGCCUGGUACCCAGCUUCCUCCUGCAGCUGCCAGGCCCUCCUCUGACACCCUGCAGGCCCCAGGUCCUUGCUACCCCUUUCCUUUCCUACUCACGGCAGGCGGGGGGACAGAGAGCUGAAAUGAAAGACAAGGAAGGGGUGGGGGUGUGAAUGGAUGAGCUGCUCACCACACAUUCCUUUGGUUAAGACCCUAGGCUCCCCUUGAGGCCCAUCCCGCAUCGGUACCUUCCCUGGUGUACUCAGGGAGCUUGGUCUUUCGAAGCCAACUCCAAUAUGAAGGGAGUGAGGAGACAGCCUCUUUGAUUUCUGGGGAGGCAGACAGCAGCUCCGUUUCCCUGGGCCUCGACGGGGCCAGUUCCCCCUCUCUUCACGCAGCCCCUCCCUGAUCAGCCCUCCUGUCUCUACCCCUCCACCCUUCCCUGCCCACCCCAACCCCUGUCACCCGUCCCUCUCCUUGGUAUCCUCCCAAGCCCCUAGGUCACUCUUUCCCCUUGACCUCACCCAUGACCCUCAGGACUCUGUGAGUCUUCUCUGUGACUUUGUUCAUGGACACCUCAUCUGUGGAGAUGGGCAAGGACCAGCGAUUCCCUCAUCAGCCCAGGUUCUGGGGUCUCUCCUGACUUUCCCAGAUAUGGAGCUCUCUCAGAGGGAAAGGCCAGCAUGUCCAGAAAGGGCCACAGAUGGAGGGCACAGCUGGAAGGUCACAUGCCACCCUCUGGGGGUAGGGGGGUGAGUGCUUGCUGGGCCCAUCCCUGGAUGUCUGGUCCUACCUAAGGCAAAGGCCGAGAAGUCUGGGGAGGCCCC